AUACUAUGAUGGUUGCAUAGUUCAGCAGAUUGGGUAGUGAAGAGAGAGACCAUUUGUCUGAUGUAUCU
ensembl:snoRNA